CUCUUUGAACCUGGAAGAAGGAAGAGGAGGAGUUGCCUGGAGCAGCUUGAGAAACCAUCAUUUAAAUUACAAGCCUGGGAAUAUCUUUGGCUGUGAAGAAGAAGGACGUUUCCAUUCUUCUGCUGGACUGAUAGAACAGACCACCCUUGGAUAUUUCUCUUGGGACUUUGGACUUUGCCCACCAAAAGACUCUAUUUUGGGCUGACAGUUUUUUGUGGCCACAGAUGUGAUGGAAAGUGGAAGCCAUUCCUACUCAAUAUGACCCAACUGAGCAUGUGGCAUCUCCAGAGGUCCAUUGUGCCCCAUUCAAUUCUAGUCUGCAGAAAGUAG
rnacentral:lncRNA from 1 species